AUUCAUGCUUCCAAAGUGACAACAAUUAUUUAAAAGCAACUCUGAAGCUCAAAACUCACAUAGGUAAACUCACAAGUUCUCAAAUUCAGAAAAACAACCUGCUCAGUAUUUUAAUCAAACUUUAUUUCAAGCACCUAUCUCACAAAUCACUAAUAUCACAUCAUGCAUCAUCUCAACUUCAAUCAAGCACUAGAAUCUCUUAAAGCAAAACCC
rnacentral:lncRNA from 1 species